CCUACGGGUGGCAGCAGUAGGGAAUAUUGCUCAAUGGGGGAAACCCUGAAGCAGCAACGCCGCGUGGAGGAUGAAGGUUUUAGGAUUGUAAAAUCCUUUUGUUAGAGAAGAUAAUGACGGUAUCUAACGAAUAAGCACCGGCUAACUACGUGCCAGCAGCCGCGGUAAUACGGAGGGUGCAAGCGUUACUCGGGAUCACUGGGCGUAAAGAGCGCGUAGGCGGGAUAGCAGGGCAGACGUGAAAUCCUAGGGCUUAACCAUAGAACUGCAUUUGAAACUGUUAUUCUAGAGUAUGGGAGAGGUAGGUGGAAGUCGUGGUGUAGGGGUAAAAUCCGUAGAGAUCAAGAGGAAUACUCAUUGCGAAGGCGACCUGCUAGAACAUAACUGACGCUGAUGCGCGAAAGCGUGGGGAUCAAACAGGAUUAGAUACCCUUGUAGUC
rnacentral:rRNA from 1 species